UACGUAGGUGACCAGCGUUGUCCGGAUUUACUGGGCGUAAAGAGCGCGCAGGCGGUCGUUCAAGUCGAGUGUGAAAGCCCCCGGCUCAACUGGGGAGGGUCACUCGAUACUGAUCGACUUGAAGGCAGGAGAGGGAAGCGGAAUUCCCGGUGUAGUGGUGAAAUGCGUAGAUAUCGGGAGGAACACCAGUGGCGAAAGCGGCUCACUGGACCAUAACUGACGCUGAUGCACGAAAGCUAGGGGAGCAAACAGG
rnacentral:rRNA from 1 species